CUACAAGCUAUAAAAUGCUGUACACAGGUAACAGGCUGUUUUUCAUUGAGACGGGCAGGGAUGUGGGCAGUGGCAUUGAUAGGUGGGACCUCCCCCCACCCCACCCUCCACCGCAGGUGAACCUGCCGCUGCUCACCCUGAGCCAGCCCCUGCUGUUGGGCAUCGCCCGAAAUGAGACCAGUGCUGGCCGAGCCAGUGCCGAGUUCUAUGUCCAGUGCAGCCUGACUUCUGAGCAGGUGAGGAAGCACUACCUGAGUGGGGGACCCGAGGCCCACGAGUCUACAGGAAUCUUCUUUGUGGAGACACAGAACGUGCGGAGAUUGCCCGAGACGGAGAUGUGGGCUGAACUCUGCCCCUCGGCCAAAGGCGCCAUCAUCCUCUACAACCGGGUUCAGGGAAGUCCCACUGGAGCGGCCCUAGGGUCCCCAGCCCUACUCCCGCCGCUCUGAAAAUAAUAAACGACUUUAUUCUUGGA
rnacentral:sRNA from 1 species